UCUCCGUUGGUGAACCAGCGGAGGGAUCAUUACCGAGUUUACAACUCCCAAACCCCUGUGAACAUACCUAUCGUUGCCUCGGCGGUGCCCGCUCCGGCGGCCCGCCAGAGGACCCCCAAACUCUUGUUUAUACAGUAUCUUCUGAGUAACACGAUUAAAUAAAUCAAAACUUUCAACAACGGAUCUCUUGGUUCUG
rnacentral:misc_RNA from 1 species